rnacentral:rRNA from 1 species
GUCCACGCCGUAAACGAUGGAGACUAGGUGUAGGCGGAUAGAACCCCGUCUGUGCCGAAGCCAACGCGUUAAGUCUCCCGCCUGGGGAGUACGGCCGCAAGGUUAAAACUCAAAGGAAUUGACGGGGCCCGCACAAGCAGCGGAGCGUGUGGUUUAAUUCGAUGAUACGCGAAGAACCUUACCUGGGUUUGACAUCCCGGUAGUAGCCGACCGAAAGGAAGGUGACCCUUCGGGGAGCCGGGACAGGUGCUGCAUGGCUGUCGU